AUGAGGAACGUGCCGCUGUUCCCAGGCCACGCCGAUGCUGCCAGGGACAUCCUCGCUCCACAUGGAUCCAUGAUGGGACCUGAACAGCCUUUCCUGGGGUCCCUGUAUUCCCCUGCAGAGGCUCUGGACCCAUCAGCCUUCAUUGGCCUCGAGUCAGGCACAGAAUUCCUGCCAGGAAAAGCAGCACCUGAAGAAUACUGGAUGGGAGCUCAGCAGGACAUGAAGGGACCAGAUACCUCUUUCUUUGUUGAGCCACCAGUGCCCCCCUCAGCCACAGAGGCCAUCAGGACGAGCCUGCCCGAGAGCCCCACGGCAGCAGCAGCCCCUGGGAGUGUUCCUGCUGCAGCCUCAGCAUUCCCAGGAGAGGCUGCAGCCACGGAUGCACCGAAGGGCUCCACGCCAGGUGCAGCCUCUGUUCCCGCCGCCGACGCCGCGUCGCUCCCCGCAGAGAAAGCUGGAGCUGUCCCUGCUGCAGACACCAAACCUCCCCCAGCUCCAGGGGCUGCAGCUCCUGCAGCAGCUGCCAACCCUUUCCAGACCACGGAUUUGGGGUUUUCUCCUGCACCUGAAGCCAGCCCUCCCAAAGGCGUCAAUGACAUCUCCACCCCGGGGACGGAGCUCGGCUGCGCCCCGGCAGCAGAUGCUGGAUCCCACCGUGGGCUGGAACUGGGGUUUGCCCCAGCAGCAGGUGUGGAGUCCCACCAAGACAUGGAUUUGGGAUUUGCUCCAGCAGCAGGUGUGGAAUCCAAUCAGACCAUGGAUUUGGGAUUUGCUCCAGCAGCAGGUGUGGAAUUCAAUCAGACCAUGGAUUUGGGAUUUGCUCCAGCAGCAGGUGUGGAACCUCACCAUGCCAUGAAUUUUGCUCCAUCAGCAGAUGUAGAACCUCACCAUGCCAUGGAUUUUGCCCCAGCAGCAGAUGUGGAACCUCACCAUGCCUUGGAUUUUGCCCCAGCAGCAGAUAUCAAAGCUCAGCACACCGUGGGCCCUGAGCUUGGCCUGGCAGCAGAUGCAGAGUUUGCCCCAGCAGCAGAAGCCAACCAUCAGCACAGCCUGGAUUCUGGGUUUGCUCCUGCAGCUCCAGCCAAGCUUGUCCCUGCUGUGGACACUGGGAAUGUGUCAGUGCAGGCUCAGCCUGGCCCUGCAGGGGCUGCUGUGUCUGCUGAGGCUGCCCUUCAGCAGGACAAGUCUCCUGCAGAAGCACCAGCAAAGGUGGAAGCAGAAUCCAAAGUCCCAGAAGUUUGUGUGGAUCACUCAGAGAAGAUGAAGGACAGAAAAGCCCCUCCAAGCCCUCUGGACGAGCACUUUCCUGGGAAAAUCAGCCAGCAGCCGGAGCCAGCAGCUGAAGCAAAAGGAGCAGUAGAAAAUAAAGACCUUCCAGAAAAAUCUGCUCCUGCUGAGGAUGGUGAGGCACAAAAGGAGGAGGCUGAGCACAACCACGUCCAACACGCAGAACCUCAGGAAGGGAAAACCCUGCAGGAGCCCACAGGUCUUCCCACUGCACAAGUCAGGCAAGCUCCCAAAUCCAGGGACCGUGGGUUUGGCAGAGCAAAACCUGCCCCAGAGCCUCUCACAGAUGUGCCAGAGGAGCAUCCUGUAGGUCUCCCACAGCAGAAGAGUCCUGAGCCCAGAGCAGAUCCCUGUUCCACAGUGGAGCUUGGCUGUGGUGCUGGAACAUCCCCUCGCUUUAGGGUUCCUCACAAAAAGGCCACCAGUGUCCCCAAGGAGCCUGUGGAGAGCUGCAGAGAUCCCUCCCAGGAAAGCUGGGAUUUGGAAAGUGCCGUGGUGAAGAAAAAGAAAAAGAAACCCAAACAAAGGAGAAACCAGCUGCCAAGAGGGAUGGAGCUGUGGGAUGAGAACGGAGCAGGCUCCAGAGCUGCCAGGAAUGCUCCCUUUGGGCUGGAAUGGCAGAAUCCAGAGCCUGAGGGAACGCCCUCAGGGAGCAGAGCUCUGGAUGUGCCAAAAGAUGCUAAAAUAACAACUGGGAGUCAUAUCCUGGAUGAGCAAAACUCCUUCCCAGAGCCAGCCCCGGGACAGCAGCCCCCAAAAUCCGCUCUGCUGGGUGCCAGAGCCCGGGAGGAAGCGAAAGCAGAGGGAAGGAGAGGUGACAGCUGGAUGCUGGAAUGUAAAGGCAAGAGCAGAGAGGUUCCCUCGGAGCAGGGGGGCAAGACUGAGGUGGAGGAAUCUGCUCCAGCUUCGGGAGCCAGCGGGCCCACGGAGAGAGAUUUCCCCGGUAAAAGGGAGAGGAGGGAGCACAAGGAGUCAAGAGGCACCGACCUGAUGGUCCAUGAGAGCAAAGCAGGAACUCCCUUACAGACCAAACCAAAGGAAUUGCCCCUUUCCCAUAAAAAUAAAGAGCCUAAAACCUCAUCUCCAGGGCAGGAAGCACCCGGUGGCUCUGUGCAUCAGCUUUCCCUGGAAACAGCAGCUGAGAAAAACAGGGAAAAAAGCAACGGGGUUGAAAAGGAACCCCUCAAACAGCCUCACCUGGAGGACAAGCUCCCUGCAGAGCCAAAGGCAGCUGGAGAAAGUGAAACAGGGUCAGAGGGAGGGCUGCAGACCCCAAGAGAUGCUCCUGGAGCUCCUGUUCCAGCUUCACUUCCACCAAAGCUUGGGGAGGUUCCAGCUGUGCAGGGCAGAAGGGCCGAGGGUGUCCCCGGUGCUCCCAAACAUCCCUCCCCUGCUGGGGCAGGGGGCUGGGGUGGGGCAGAUUCCCCAGAUCCAAACCCAGGGAAGGGAUCCCCUGCUCCAGAGCAGAGGGCUGGGAAAGAUCCCAGCUCCACACACGGGAUGGAGAGGCCUAAAAAAAAGCGCAGCGAAGGGAAAGGCAAAAGAAUCAAAAGCUGCUCGGAGCAGAUGGUGCUGGCAGAGGAUGGAGGCAAAUUCACUGAGGGAAGGAGGACAGGGGAGGAUGGGAAGGAAGCAGUUUAUCCUGAAAAUGGUCAGGGGGUUCCUGCCAGAGGACACCCAUCAGCCAGCACUACAGACAAGCCCAAAAAAAGAGGCAGCGAUGGAAGGAGCAAAAAAGGGGAAAGGAGCUUUUUCCAGCAGCCUUUCCUUGAGAGUAAAAUGGAUGCAGGGAGUUUUCCUGAGGUGGUUGAUAAGGUGAGGGAGGGCAGUGAGGAGGGCAGAGCAGGGGGCUGUGUCCCUGCUGGGGGCUUGCAGGAAAAUGCAGCUAAAACACAAAGAUCAAUUGAGCUGGGACCGGAGAAACAGAAAGAAAAUGUUGGGAAACCUGAAACAGCUGAUCUGAGAGCUUUAGACCAAGCUUUGCUACUGGAGAAGAGCAAAGAGGAAGCCAAAAUUCCUGCUCUGGCUGCCACCACGAGCCUGACUAAAGAGGUGGAUUUGGUUGGGAAAGGCAGAGAGGCCGGAGGUGGCGCAGGGCUGGCAGAGAAAGGCAGGAAAAGGAGCAGUGAUGGGAGGAGGAAAGAGGCUGAGCACAGCCCCUGGGGACAGGCAGCUGUCCCGGGUGCUGGGGGGGACAGCAGCCAGCAGCAGGAGCCUGGGAACAGGAAGGAAACAAGCCUGGAUAAGGAGAAGGGAUCUGGUUUGCACAGAGAGAGGUUGGCGGAGGAGCUGGGGAAGCCCAAAAUCCAGGGUGGCACUGGCAGCUUCUCUGAGCUGCCAAAUCUUUCAGGCCAGAAAACUGAGAUUUCAGAGGCAGAAAUUGGCAGUGCUAAGGAAAGUUGGCCCAUGAAUAGAGGGAAGGAAGCAGAGAAAUCCCAGCCUCUCCCAGAGCACAGGGCAGGGAUGCACAGUCCCAGCAGGGAACUGGGGAUGGACAAGGCCAGGAGUAAAAGCAGAGAUGGGAAAGGCAAAAAGGCUGAGCACACACCUGAGCUGCAGCCAGGCAAUGUCCCUGCAGUGGGACACAGCCAGCAAACUCAGGCUGAGAAAGGCAAAGAGAAUUCCAGGACUCCAGCAGCUCACCUGCCUGAUCCUGCCAAGGUAGAGGCUCCUGCUGUGCCCCUGGAGCCAGGGAAAUCACACCCAGGUGAUGAGGAGAAACACAGAAAGGGGGAGCCUGACCCACAGCAGCCUUUUCUGCUGGAGAAUAAAGCAGGAGCAGGGAUCUUCCCUCCUCCUGGCCUGGAGAUCAGGGACAAAGCUGAGGCAGGAGGUGCCAGUCCUCGCAGCAGGAAUAAAAAUUCUGUCCCAGUGUCAGAUCCCAGCCUGGCCCCAGUCACUGAGAGAUCUAAAAAGAGGGGUUAUGAUGGAAGCAGUAAAAAAGCUAAAAAUGCUUCCAGGCAUGUUCCUCUAGAGGCAAAUCCAGAGAGGAGUGAAGCACAGCCUCCCCUGGGAUCUGGGCUGGGAUGUGGGAUGGAAGACACAGAUUUUGUAGAUGAAAACAGAAACAUUAAAAACUUUCCCGCUGGCCCUCAAAGACUUGGGAAUAAUAAAAGAAGUGACUUGAAAUCCGUGGCUCAGAGCACAGCAAGUGGUGCCGGGGGUGAUGCUCCCUGUGACCUCCCAAAGCAGAGGGAAGGGACUGCAGGGACUGGGGGCCUUCCUCCUCCUCCUCCUCUUCCUCUGGAAGCAGAGAACAGCAGCAAGGAGCGUGGAGCUGGUGCUGAGAAGGAGAUGCAGAGGUGCCAUGAGCAGCCCACCAGCCUGGGACACAAAGAACCUGCCCAAGACGUGUCACAGAGAGGUGGCAAAGGCAGAGAGGCUGAGGUGUCACACAGAGGCCAGCCCAAGGACAAAAGUGACCUUUCCCCCGUGGCAAAGGUGGAUGAUAAAGAAACAAAACCCUCUGAUGAGAAGCCCAGCAGUGCCAAGGCUCCCUCGGAGCUUCCUCCGAAGCACGGAGCAGCCGUGGGGGGCACGGGGCGAGCAGAGACCCCCAGAGCAGAGAGGGGCUCUGGGAGCCUUCCCCCAGCCCCUGCAGGGACCCCUGCCAGCACUGGGAUCAUUUCCCCAUCUGCAGGGACCCCUCCUAGCACUGGGACCCUUCCCCCAGCCCCUGCAGGGACCCCUGCCAGCACUGGGACCCUUUCCCCAGCCCCUGCAGAGACCCCUGCCAGCACUGGGACCCUUUCCCCAGCCCCUGCAGGGACCCCUCCCAGCACUGGGAUCAUUUCCCCAUCUGCAGGGACCCCUCCCAGCACUGGGAUCAUUUCCCCAGCCCCUCCAGCCGUGUCCCAGGCUGUGCCAGGAGCUGGGGUGGACAGGAAAGCUGGAGGGGACACGAGGAGCGAGCAGAGCUCAUCCCAACACCAGGGCACUGAGCCUCAGGCUGCUGGCCCUCGUGGGGCAGCUGCCCAAACCACCCAGAAACAGCCCAAAGAGAGCAGAAAAGGGCCCUGGCAGCCUGCAGAGGAGGGCCCUGCUCCUGCUGCUGAGGCUCUCAUGAAGGAUGCUCCUCGUGGAGCAGAGCUUCUCCUGAAGGAUGCUCCGGUGCCAGAGGCUGAGCUGGAUAAACCUCAAGACAAAACCAAAGAAAAGGAUUCUCGAGACACAAAUAAAGAAACUCAAGAUACAGCUAAAGAAAAGGAGUCUCAGGACACAACUAAAGAAAAGAAACCUCAAGAAUUAACUAAAGAGAAAAAAUCUCAAGACAUAACCAAAGAGAAGGAACCUCAAGAAGUAACUAAAGAAAAGGAAUCUCAGGGCACAACCAGAGAAAAGAAACCUCAAGAAUUAACUAAAGAACAGGAAUCUCAAGAAAUAAUUAAAGAAAAGGAGUCUCAGGACACAACUAAAGAACAGGAAUCUCAAGAAAUAACUAAAGAGAAGGAGACUCAGGACAUAACUAAAGAGAAGGAGACUCAGGACAUAACUAAAGAAAAGGAAUCUCAAGACAUAACCAAAGAGAAGGAACCUCAAGGAAUAACUAAAGAGAAGGAACCUCAAGCCCCAAGUAAAGAAACAGAAGAAUGUGAACAGAAAGCAGUGAAAGAGGCAAAGAAAGAGAGAUUGAAGGCAGCAGAGCAGCUCAAGGGCUACAUGAGACCCACCAAGGCCCGGGGGGUGCCAGCCCCGGUGGCCAGGCCGGCGCUGGCCAGAGCUGGUCCCCGGCAGGCGCGGCAGGACAGAGGUGUGUGAGUGGCCAGGGACAGAGCUGUGUCCCUGCCUGGCCUUGAGCCUCAUCCUGCUGUGGCAUGAGGGGUGUGUGCUGCUCUCAGGGGCUCUGGGGAUGCUUGCCUGGCUGAUGGUGCUGGUUCCAGAGCUCCACGUUGGGGUUUGGUUUGUUUGGAGCGAGUUCUGCAAAUCCUGGGCAGUGUUUGGGGAAAUUGCACUCCUGGAGGUGGAGCUGCCUUGGUUUCUGCCUCCUGAGGCUGCUCAGGGAUGCAGGAUGGCAGGGCAGGGAGUGUUGUGUCCCUGUUUUGGCAGGCUCUGGGUUUAUCCCACCCCAGCUGCAUCCCCUUCUCCUCCUGCAGCUGCUUUGGCUUGAGCCUCCUUGAGCCACUUCAUCCACAAAAUGUGUUUCUUUCUAGAAUCAGAACCUUUCCCAAAGCAGCUCUAACAAAACAAUGGUGGGGCUGAUGUAAAUUUUGGGACUUUAUCCCUCUCAGGAGACUUUGGAUGGGCUGGUCAGCAUCCAGGGCUGGGCACCCUGGCUCUUCUCCAGGGAACAAGGUCCCUGUGCUCAUAGGAAAUGAGCUGGAAUUCAUCCCAUAGAACUGAACCCAGUUCUUAGAAAUUUUAAACUACGGCUAGAGAUGAAAUGACAAAUAUUCUUGUACUUGUGCUCAUUCUAAAGCUUCCUCAGAAAGAGUUGUUGGCAUCUCUGUGAACCCCACUCUGCCGAGAUGGGCCGGGAAGUUUUUCCCUGCCCUCGGGUGCUCUCUGUUUUUGCCUUGUCAUCAGCCAUGAAAGUUUGUUGCUGUUCCUGCAGAGUUUCUUGCUGCCAGUUUGCAUGAUGCAGCCACUAACUCACCAGAGCCCGAGCUCCAGAGUGCCUUAACAUGCUGCUGGGGUUUUUGAGAGGUUUUGUAAUUUUAAUGAGUGUUGCAUAACCUGGUGUAGUUCUAUUUUAGUGGAAAUGGUGUUCUCUGCAUGAACCUGUGCCUGCAGAAGUGAUGCUCUUUGCUGCAUGAUGCAA
rnacentral:lncRNA from 1 species